CAGCCGCCACGGGAAUACAGAGGGUGCGAGCGUUAAUCGGAUUUACUGGGCGUAAAGCGUGCGUAGGCGGCUUUUUAAGUCGGAUGUGAAAUCCCUGAGCUUAACUUAGGAAUUGCAUUCGAUACUGGGAAGCUAGAGUAUGGGAGAGGAUGGUAGAAUUCCAGGUGUAGCGGUGAAAUGCGUAGAGAUCUGGAGGAAUACCGAUGGCGAAGGCAGCCAUCUGGCCUAAUACUGACGCUGAGGUACGAAAGCAUGGGGAGCAAACAGGAUUAGAUACCCUGUAGUCCCUGUCUCUUAUACA
rnacentral:rRNA from 1 species